GCCACGUUGGGGUUUCUAUGCUGCCGCUGAUUGAAAUAGGCUGCCUGAUGCCAUGCAAUGGGCUGGAUCAAAUUGAGUAGAACGCAGCGUUUAAGUGUGUUUCUACUGAUGCCUUCGCAAAGGUCCUGUGUGUGCACAUUCAUUUGGAAAAGGGGCUCGAGAUAUUUACAAGUGAGAAGGAGAGAAAAUACCCCUCGGGCUAGGGCUUGUGCGAGAGAGUGAAGAAGAGCAACUUGCUUCAGCUGACCGAAAGAAAGAUGACCCUGGACCGAGGAAGAAGCACACGACCCUGUCAUGAGCUGACCGGUGAAGAAGAGUAGGUGACCGGAGCUGCCACGUCAGAUGAAGCACAAAGCGUCACGAGCAAGUGGGGGAAACUGAGUUUGUUGGCUUUGAUGCGACUAAAAGCGAGUUUAACAAUCUCACACUUCAAUUUGGAGAAAAACUCUUGUGCGUACAUUCACUUUGGCAGAAAGAGCACACUCAUUCAGAAAAGAGAAGAGCCAACCCCAAGUUAGGACUUCAAGCGAGAGAGCUGAAGACUGGAGAAUGUGCUGACCAGAGAAGAAUAAGCCAAGUUUAAGUGAUCGGACCCUCACCAGUAGAGGUUGAAAAUGAUCGGAGAUUGAGCUCACAAAGAAAGAACGAAAAUCGUUCGAUGGGAAGCACAAAGCGUCCAAGCUGCCAAGGUUCCCCUUUCCCUUUUUCUCUCUAUCUUUCACCCUAUAAAAAGAGGUUUCUGUAAUUAGAACGAGUGUGAUGGGUGGUGGGUGUCAGACACCAUUCUUAGGUUUACGGCAGUGGGUGUUAGACCCAGGGUUUUAAUUUUCGUCUAGUUUCAUUCUCAUAGUGUAGAUUCCGGUAGAUCAAGCAAUCGCGAUAGUGACAACCCAUGAUCGUCUCGACUUUGCUUCUACGGUGGAUUUCUUUUUGUUUGCUUGUUAUAAUAGGCCAUGACACUAAAUGGAGUGUCAAGUGUGAUAAACUUAUUUGUAGUUGAUUAUGACGAAACUACUCUUAAUUUCUUCAAGACCUACUCCAACCUCUUUUUUUCGCUUUUAUCGUGACCGAAUGCUUCUCUUUGAAGUUACAACAUUCAAUGAUGAAAUGCAAUUUAUAAUGCUUUUAAAAGAUAAGCCAAAUGUUGACCUCAUCAUAUUGGAGACCAAUUUGGAAAUGAACCCUUUGGCAAUGUUUUCUGGCCUCGAUGUAUUAAAGCGUGCUAAAGAAUGCAUGGAUAUUCCUGUUGUCAUGAUGUCCCACAGUUAUGAUUGGUCGGAUCAGUGUAAGGCUUAUGACUUGGGUGCACAAUAUUAUUGGCACAAACUUAUUAAUGAGGCUAAACUAAAAAGCAUGAUUAUUGUCCUAGUUUCUCGUGAAUCAGCAAUGGAGAAAGUUAAAUCUGUAAGGCAACGAGUAACAUGGACAACAGUUAUGCAUAAUGCAUUUCUAGAAGCCAUCAAUAUACUAGGAGGGUUAGCAAAUGCUCAGCCAAAAAAUACUAGAAGUUUUGAAAAUGCCUAAUAUAGAGAUUAGGUAGGUAAGAAAUCACUUACAGUCUCAAAAGAAAACGGAAACAGCUACAGGAGCAGCAGCAGGAGAACAUUGUCCAGAGAAGAGGGAAGGUUCAUGCAAAAGAAUUCAAUGUACACCUGCCUCACCUAAGGAAGCAUAAGCAUGGACCUUCCCUUCAAUGUUUCAGUGCCUGCUCUUGUUCUUGUUGUUGCUCAUGCGGCUUGCUGCUGCUACUCGUGUUCCUGCUGCUCCUGUUCUUGUUGUUGCUCCUGUAGCUUUUUCUUCUUUUAUGAGACUGUAAGUGAUUUCUUAUAUUCCUAAUCUCUAUAUUAGGCAUUUUCAAAACUUUUAGUAUUUUUUUUGGCUGAGCAUUUGCUAAUCCUCCUAGUAUAUUAAUGGCUUCUAGAAAUGCAUUAUGCAUAUCUGUUGUCCAUGUUACUCGUUGCCUUACAGAUUUGGCUUUCUCCAUUGCUGAUUCAUGAGAAACUAGACAAUAAUCAUGCUUUUUAGUUUAGGCUCAUCAAUAGGUUUGUGCCAAUGGUAUUGUGCACCCAAGUCAUAAGCCUUACGUUGAUCCGACCAAUCAUAAUUGUGGGACAUCAUUACAACAGGAACAUCCAUGUAUUAUUUAACACGCUUUAAUACAUCGAGGUCAGAAAACAUUGCCAAAGGGUUCAUAUCCAAAUUGGUCUCCAGUACGAUGAGGUCAACCUUUGGCUUAUUUUUUAAAAGCAUUACAAAUUGUGAUUCAUCGUUGAAUGUUGUAACUUCAAAGUGAAGCCUUCGGUCACGAGAAAAGAGGUUGGAGUAGGUCUUGAUGAAAUGAAGAGUAGUUUCGUCAUAAUCAAUUACAAAUAAGUUGAUCACACUUGACACUCCAUUUAGUGCCAUGACCUAUGAUAACGAGCAAACAAAAUGAAAUUCACUGUAGAAGCUAAGUCGAGACGAUCACGGACUGUCACCACCGUGAUUGCUCGAUCAACCUCCAAGAGAAUGAAACUAGACAAAAAUGAAAAACAUGGGUAGCGUCUGUCACCCAUUAUUGUAAAUCUAAAGAUGGUGUUUGUCACACUCGUUCUAAUUACAGACAUGACUACAAAAUUGGUCAUAGAUAGUGCUAUCUAUGAGUAUGCGGAACAAUAGAUAGUGUUUAUUUAAAAAAACACUAUCUAUACGCAUGACAAUAGAUAGUGUUUUUUUAAAAAAGUGCUAUCUAUAAAUAAUUAAUAUUACUUUUUUAAUUUAUAAUUUGAAAUAAAUGAAUAAGUAUUGCUUUUUAAAAAGAGCAGUAUCUAUUCGAUUAUAAUAGAAUUCGCUUUUUUAAACAAGCGCCAGUGGCUCGAAGCUUAGUUCUCAUUUCAUCUUCUUUUUCUUAUUUGUCCUAUGUGCUCAAAACUGGUCAUAAAUAGCGCUUUUUAAAAUAAGCGCUAUCUAUGAGUGUGCGGAACAAUCGAUAGUGUUUAUUUAAAAAAACGCUAUCUAUACGCAUGACAAUAGAUAGCGCUUUUUUAAAAAGCGCUAUCUAUGAAUAAUUUAUAUUACUUUUUUAAUUUAUAAUUUGCAAUAAAUGAAUAGAUAAUGCAUUUUUAAAAGAGCGGUAUCUAUUCUAAUAUAAUAGAAUUCGCUUUUUUAAACAAGCGCCACUUUUUAUGGCUCAAAGCUUAGUUCUCAUUUCAUCUUCGUUUUUCUUAUUUUCCCUAUGUGCACAAAAUUGGUCAUAGAUAGCGCUUUUUUAAAUAAGCAAUAUCUAUGAGUGUGCGGAACAAUAGAUAUCACUUAUUUAAAAAAACGCUAUCUAUACGCAUGACAAUAGAUAGCGCGCUUUUUUAAAAAAGCACUAUCUAUAAAUAAUUUAUAUUACUUUUUUAAUUUAUAAUUUGAAAUAAAUAAUGCUUUUUUAAAAGAGCGGUAUCUAUUCUAGUAUAAUAGAAUUCGCUUUUUUAAGCAUGCGCCACUUCUUAUGGCUAGAAGCUUAGUUCUCAUUUCAUCUUCGUUUUUCUUAUUUUCCCUAUGUGCAUCAAGCAAUCCCCUUUGUUUUAAUUUCCCCUCAAAGUUUCUCAUUUCUCUUUUAUUCUUAUUUUCUCUUCUUCUUGUGAUUCCAUUUGUGUAUCACUCCCAUGGGUUUUCACUCCCGCACUCCCUGCCACCAUUAGUGGUUAAAAAACCCUAGGGUUUUAGGAAGAAGAGUGACGAGUGUGUGGAGGAAAAGAAUGAGUUUGGUUGCAGGCUCGUACAAGAAAUUUAUCUGGGUCUCAUCCUAAAGCCUCAAUCUCACCUUUUUUCUCCUAUCCUUCCCACCUCUCUCCUGUAUCAAAGUUGUCGUCGUCUCAAGCUCCAUCGUCGCUUCUGACGGCAAUGACGACACCAUCCCUUCUACGACCUCUCCGUCGCAUCCUCCCUCGCUUCCCUCCACCAACACUCUGCUUCUGUCACUGCCCUCUCCUUCUACAUCCCUCCCAAUCUCCCCUUCCCUCGCAAUCUCAUCUCUACCGAUGUCGCUGGCUCCCUUGCCAAUUUUGACGCAGACGGCUUCGUCCAUCUUACGAUGCUCUCCGUCCACUGCAACGCCGCCAUCAACUACCUCGCCUUGCACUAGUUCGGUGAGUGCGCACUGCCUUGUUGUUGUCAACCUCGUUCGCGGCUGCCGCAACUGCUGCUUGCACCUCAACAAGGAAGCUACUCUGGUCAAGUUCAAUGCGUCCAGCAACCACUUUUUAUGGCCGAGGACGAGAGGGUUUUGUCCACCAGACUGAGGAUGCAUGCAUAUUGUUCGAAUUGGAAUGCUCCAAGCCCGUUCUCUGCAUUGCUCUUGCUAGGUCAUUGCAUGGAUGCCUUUUCCCCGGGUCGUCGUAUAAUACUUUCAGAUCCUAUACAAAUCCUCAUUGUUUUGAGCUUGAUAAUGUCAGGUUUCUUGGGACAUCCGGUCAAAUGUAGAUGAUCUUGACAAAUAUUCAGAUGCAAAAGAUUUUUCAGAAUCUCAACGUGUCCUCUGCUUCCUUCAAUUUGCUCCUUAUCUGGCUGUAGUUAUUUCAAAUGCUUCUAGUUGAAAUUGAAGUUUAUUGAUUGGUACUUGAAGAUUGGGUUUGUAUCUGCUUUGGUUGGGGCUUCUAUGGAGGUGUUCAUGAUCAAAGAUGGCUUCUGUAUGAAAAAGUAACUCUGUUUUGGAGUCAGAAAAACGUGCCUGGGAGAAUUUCCCGUAUCAUAAAGGGAUCAGAAGGGCAGUUGGUGAGACUCACAUGUGUUCCUAAAUUCAGCGAAACUGGAGUUGCUGUUAUGGUGAGCUCCAAAUCGUGCACACUUCAUUUUAAUGGCCUUUUUAUACUUGUAUAAAUAUAUUAUUCCAUUAGCAUAUCAAUAACAUGUCUCUGGUUUGUUGUUUAAGGUAA